rnacentral:rRNA from 1 species
GCGACCCCAGGUCAGGCGGGACUACCCGCUGAGUUUAAGCAUAUCAAUAAGCGGAGGAAAAGAAACUAACAAGGAUUCCCUUAGUAGCGGCGAGCGAACUGGGAAGUGCCCAGCGNG